AUCUAAAUGUAAGCCCGUUGGAGCAGCGCCAUCCGCAUCCUCUGUUCUGUGCUUCCAGCUCGUCUUGUUACAAAUACAUGUCGGUUAGUCCACUGAUUGUACAGCACUAUGGAAUUUCUUGGCGCUUUAUGAAUAAUAAUAAUCUAAAGCUGACCAGAAUAAUUUUUCCCUCAAACGGAAACAUACCGAUCAGACUUAGAGGCAUUAUUAGCAGACCAGCUAUUUGUUUUAUUUUUUUUAAAUUACUAUUAACGGAAAACUGUGAUGGCCCUCCUCUACCCCGCGUGACCCACCUCCUGUCCACCUGUGCUCCACCUCUGUUCUGUCUGAUUUCCUUGCCUGGGGACACUUCCCCAAGUAUGGUAAAUCUCCAUGACAUUCUAACUUAAUUGUCUGCAUCGGAACAGAUUGACGUCCCAACUGCCAAGGAAUUGAAAGACAUAUUUAUUUUAUAUAGCGCCAUCACAUUCUGUAGCGCUGUACAAUGGGAUAUGAAAAACCUAGUUUUACAUUACAUUUACAUUUUACUUUUUUAUUUUUCUCCAAUUGCAUACAUUUGCUUUAAAAAAAAAAAACUGCUAGCACACUGCAGAGAUGGAAUUUCAAGUUCUUUUAAAAAGCUAAAGUAGCUUUUUUCCAUCACUGGUUCCCUUUAAUCUCUUCUUCUGCUUAAUUUUUAUAACUAAAUGAUUACAUUAUUUAACUUUUAAC